rnacentral:rRNA from 1 species
GUCGGGGAAGAAAAUGACUGUACCCGAAUAAGAAGGUCCGGCUAACUUCGUGCCAGCAGCCGCGGUAAUACGAAGGGACCUAGCGUAGUUCGGAAUUACUGGGCUUAAAGAGUUCGUAGGUGGUUGAAAAAGUUAGUGGUGAAAUCCCAGAGCUUAACUCUGGAACUGCCAUUAAAACUUUUCAGCUAGAGUAUGAUAGAGGAAAGCAGAAUUUCUAGUGUAGAGGUGAAAUUCGUAGAUAUUAGAAAGAAUACCAAUUGCGAAGGCAGCUUUCUGGAUCAUUACUGACACUGAGGAACGAAAGCAUGGGUAGCGAAGAGGAUUAGAUACCCUCGUAGUCCAUGCCGUAAACGAUGUGUGUUAGACGUUGGAAAUUUAUUUUCAGUGUCGCAGGGAAACCGAUAAACACACCGCCUGGGGAGUACGACCGCAAGGUUAAAACUCAAAUGAAUUGACGGGGACCCGCACAAGUAGUGGAGCAUGUGGUUUAAUUCGAAGAUACGCGCAGAACCUUACCAACACUUGACAUGUUCGUCGCGACUCUAAGAGAUUAGAGUUUUCGGUUCGGCCGGACGAAACACAGGUGCUGCAUGGCUGUCGUCAGCUCGUGUCGUGAGAUGUUGGGUUAAGUCCCGCAACGAGCGCAACCCUCACUUUUAGUUGCCAUCAUUAAGUUGGGCACUCUGAAAGAACUGCCAGUGAUAAGCUGGAGGAAGGUGGGGAUGACGUCAAGUCCUCAUGGCCCUUACGUGUUGGGCUACACACGUGCUACAAUGGCAUCUACAACAGGAAGCAAAACGGCAACGUUAAGCAAAUCCCGAAAAGAUGCCUCAGUUCGGAUUGCACUCUGCAACUCGAGUGCAUGAAGCUGGAAUUACUAGUAAUCG